AUGUUCACUAACCACCUUGUUUGUCAAAACUGGAGUGAUACAGAGACGAUUGCAAGGUCCUCGCUCUAGGAUGACACGCAAAUCCAUAAAGGAAUAUACACAUAA
rnacentral:snRNA from 1 species